UUCCGGUUGAUCCUGCGGAGGUCACUGCUAUCGAGGUCCGACUAAGCCAUGCGAGUCGAGAGGGGUUAAGCCCUCGGCAUACUGCUCAGUAACACGUGGAUAACUUGCCCUCAAGACAGGGAUAACCCCGGGAAACUGGGGAUAAUACCUGAUAGGCUAUGGUUCCUGGAAUGGUCCAUAGCCCAAAUGCAUUAGCGCUUGGGGAUGGGUCUGCGACUGAUUAGGUUGUUGCCGGUGUAACGUACCAGCAAGCCGAUAAUCAGUACGGGCUGUGAGAGCAGGAGCCCGGAGAUGGAUUCUGAGACAUGAAUCCAGGCCCUACGGGGCGCAGCAGGCGCGAAACCUUCACACUGCGCGCAAGCGCGAUGAGGGGACCUCGAGUGUCGGUGCCAAGCAUCGACUGUCCCGUUGCCUAAAUAGCAACGGUUAGCAAGGGCCGGGCAAGACCGGUGCCAGCCGCCGCGGUAACACCGGCGGCUCGAGUGGUGACCACUAUUAUUGAGCUUAAAGGGUCCGUAGCCGGUCUAGUAACUCUCUUGGGAAAUCUGGCGGCUCAACCGUCAGGCGUCCGGGAGAAACUGCUAGACUUGGGAGCGGGGGAGGUUGGAGGUACUCCAGGGGUAGAGGUGAAAUUCUGUAAUCCUUGGGGGACCACCAGUGGCGAAGGCGUCCAACCAAAACGCGUCCGACGGUGAGGGACGAAAGCCAGGGGCACGAACCGGAUUAGAUACCCGGGUAGUCCUGGCCGUAAACGAUGCGGGCUAGGUGUCACAAUGGCUACGAGCCACUGUGGUGCCGUAGAGAAAUCGUGAAGCCUGCCGCUUGGGAAGUACGGCCGCAAGGCUGAAACUUGAAGGAAUUGGCGGGGGAGCACUACAACGGGUGGAGCCUGCGGUUUAAUUGGAUCAACGCCGG
rnacentral:rRNA from 1 species